AUGAAAAAAAGUGGAGGGCUUCUUAUUCCACAAGAACGAAAGCACCUUUUCAUUCUUUCAUAUACUAGGGGUUUUUACUUGGAAAAGACAAUGUUCCAUACUAAAGGAUUCGGGUCCAUAACCACGAGUUCCAGUGCACUAGAUCUUGUAGCACUUAGCAACGAAGCCCUAUCCAUUAGUAUUCCACAUAAGAAAUCCAUUCUAGAAAAAAAUACAAUUAGAUUAGCUCUUCAUAGACAAACUUGGGGUUUGCGAGCCAAGGUAAGAUCGGCUCGGGAUCAUGGGACCUUUUCUAUCAGAUAG
rnacentral:rRNA from 1 species